rnacentral:rRNA from 1 species
UACGGGGGGGGCAAGCGUUGUUCGGAUUUACUGGGCGUAAAGGGCGCGUAGGCGGCCAGUGCAAGUCAGUUGUGAAAUCUCCGAGCUUAACUCGGAAAGGUCAACUGAUACUGCUCGGCUAGAGUGCGGAAGGGGCAACUGGAAUUCUUGGUGUAGCGGUGAAAUGCGUAGAUAUCCGGAGGAACACCGGUGGCGAAGGCGGCUUCCUGGACCGACACUGACGCUGAGGCGCGAAAGCUAGGGGAGCAAACGGG